rnacentral:rRNA from 1 species
AUCUCUGUAGAGUCUGCAUAUCAAUAAGCGGAGGAAAAGAAACUAACAAGGAUUCCCCUAGUAACGGCGAGUGAAGCGGGAAGAGCUCAAAUUUGAAAUCUUCAAGGUUUGACCUUGACGAAUUGUAGUUUAAAGAAGUGUUUUCGGUUAGAGGAGUAGUAAAAGUUCUUUAGGAAUAGGACAUCAUAGAGGGUGAGAAUCCCGUAUUUGACUAUUCUUUCUAGCUUUGUGAUACACUUUCAAAGAGUCGGAUUGUUUGGGAAUGCAGUCCAAAAUGGGUGGUAAAUUUCAUCUAAAGCUAAAUAUUGGCGAGAGACCGAUAGCGAACAGGUACCGUGAGGGAAAGAUGAAAAGAACUUUGAAAAGAGAGUUAAACAGUACGUGAAAUUGUCAAAAGGGAAGCGUUUGACACCAGUGUUGUUUUUCCGAAAAUCAAUUAAAAAUUGAUUCAUGCCAGGUUGUAUUGACCUUAUCAGCUUGCAAUUUGGUUUUGGGUCUCUUUUUGAUGCACUUUUCGGUUAACAAGUCAACAUCAAUUUCCUUUGCUGUAAAAAGGUAAGAGGAAGGUGGCUUCAAUUUCGGUUGAAGUGUUUAUAGCCUUUUAUCUCUGCAGUCGGGGAGAUUGAGGUCUGCAGCGUAGAUCCUUCGGGGCUAGAUACAUUUAUGCUAAGUUGUAGCUUUUCAUAGACAACUUGUUGACUAUGUUUAGUCAUGUAGCUUACUCGUAAGUGCUAUUUUACCUACGCUUAGGAUGUUGACUGAUAUGUAGUCGUA